ensembl:lncRNA
UCUACCUGCCUGUUGUUAAUUUAUCAGCCAGGUUCAGUCUACCUGCCUGUUGUUAAUUUAUCAGCCAGGUUCAGUCUACCUGCCUGUUGUUAAUAUAUCAGCCAGGUUCAGUCUACCUGCCUGUUGUUGAUGUAUCAGCCAGGUUCAGUCUACCUGACCAUAAACCUCUUAGUUCCUUUGUAUCCUUCCUUCCACAUCCUGCCUCACCUGCAGGGAACCUCUGUAGGGUAAUUGUACCUGCCCGAUGGACCACCUGUAUUCCCCUAUUAGGAUAUAGCUACUAUAGUGUAGGCUAUAAGCCCAUUGACCUCCGAAGAUAACCAGCGGUCUCUUUCUCCAAUAAACCACCGUUUUAAUGAUGACUUUAAACCUCCCGCUGCCAUAAAGCGCCUUUCUACCGCCUGUUCCGAGGAUAGACCGGCAGGAAGAGAUAAAAACUCACCGAUGCCUUUAUGACCGAGUGAACCCCGCCACCCCACCCGUCCCCGGAUUAUUCUCCUUUCCAGGCGCUCGGUGUUAAUCAGGCUCUCGCAUCAGCAUUCCGUUAUACACCGUGAUUAACAAUAUCGCAGCGCGCGGGAACUCCGCCAACCAGACAAUAGACCCGUGGACCUGCGGCUGAGCCCCGGUCUCUCUCACUCACCCCCACCCAGUCAUAAAGGCCCUGUAAAGUAUCGGGUCGCAGAGUGUUCUGGUGAAUUAACGCGCUUCCGCCAAAUCUCGACUCAUUACUGCAGUGACUGCACGCACUAAAUCACCCGAGGUCGUAAACCCGUGGCGGUGUAGCGCACGCUGCAGCGGGGUUUCCAUCACCCUAAUUCUAUAGGCCGACGCUCCAAUUAUUGUUGGGUUAUGUCAACUUUAGAUUGAAAUCCAUCCAAUCAGAAGACCAGAUGAUGUUGUAUAGGCUCGUCGAUGAUCAACACUUUAUCAUCCGAGUUGAAGAUGAAAGGCUGCAUAUGGCUUUAGUCACAUGCAUUUUAUCACGGCCUGUUUCAAGGUAGACCAACUCCAAUGUAUGUUUCACCACUGAGCUUUAUGCCAUGUGUCGUUAUAACAACAUGGGGAUAUUCAGUAGGUGGAUGGUGUUCUGCAGUAGCCUAUGGGCUAGAUAGAAUAGCCUAAAUAUGAGGAACGAGGGGUCUUCCUCAAAGCAGUGUAAUAUAGUUCUAGACCUCUACAUGGUCUAUAACCAAAGUCUAGUUGGACAGACUUCUAGAAAAGUGGUGUAUUGUGUUCCUACUAUAUUUUAGUAAUAUAGUUCUAUAGUGGAGUGUAAUAUAGUUCUAUAGUGGAGUGUAAUAUAGUUCUAUAGUGGAG